UUCUUCUUUAAUUCACAAAUCAAAGAAAAAUGUCAUCUCUCCUACCACCACCAUCCGCAUCGCUCCCAUCACCGUCACCAUCUCAAUCGCCGCCAACAUAACCAGCCCCACCACCUCGUCACCUCCGCCACCAUAACCAGCAGGUCUGUUAUAUUUUGUACGUUUGAUCUCAACUUGUUAUCAAUUGCUCAUCUUCUUGGAUAUAUUUUGACCUGGUUCAACUACAAAACUCAAAUCUAGUAAUGAAUCAAAGAGAAAUUAAUCUCCAUAACCCAAUCACGAGCAUCAGAAAAGUUGGAUUCACUUCGAUUUUCAACUGAAGUGUGCAUGAAUCCAUUUUCAAACCCUGAUCUUGGGUUUCAUUUUUCUUCAGAUCGAUGAUUGAUUCAGGAUUUGGUGCAAGAGAGGUAAUGGUGGUGGCUUAUAGAACAAAGUAUUGGGAUAUCAACAAUGCAUAUGCAAGUAGUGAAUAAUAAUUACUGUUUUUGGGGGAACUGGAGUUUAAAAAGAUUUUUUGAUUUUAAGUUGUUGUGGAAAGGAAUAUAAAUUGGAGGAUUUCAUAAGUGUAGUUGAAAUUAGGAGGAUGAAAAGCUUACAGAUGGGUCAUUUUGAAACCAGGCUUAGGACAACUUUCGGGGAUAAUGAAUAUGUGAAGCAAACGGAUACAACAAAGGUAGUUCUGUCUUUAAUUAUUGGGUAAAUGUGUUCUACAUCCCAACAGCAGCAUUAUGUGGAUUUUUUUAGUCUUGCAUAGUUAGUAGUUACAUCUGAACCGUGCCGAGAUGACUUUUCGUUCUUCCUACUUGUGAAAAAGUCUGCUAAUUUCAGCUGCAAGUUGAGUUGUGAUGUUGUGUGCUUAAUAAUGUAUCUUAAGAAUUGACUUGUCACUUAUGUUAUAAAUUGAUCAAUGUAGUAGUAUAAAUUGAUCAAUGUAGUCUAUGACUAAUAAGGCGCCUUUCACUUAUUUCUGCGAGAACUUCCUAUGUAUUUUCUGUGUGUAUUGGUGUUGGAAUGAUUGUAGUGUGUGGUUCUGUUGGAGUUGGUGUUGUGUUGUUGCUAUUCGUGGUGGAGCGGAUAUAUUAUGCUUGCUGCAAUAGGAAAUUACCAGGUAGCUUUUGUAUUCAUGU